rnacentral:rRNA from 1 species
AAGUAAAAGUCGUAACAAGGUUUCCGUAGGUGAACCUGCGGAAGGAUCAUUACCUAGAGUUGCGGGCUUUGCCUGCCAUCUCUUACCCAUGUCUUUUGAGUACCUUACGUUUCCUCGGCGGGUCCGCCCGCCGAUUGGACAAUUUAAACCAUUUGCAGUUGCAAUCAGCGUCUGAAAAAAACUUAAUAGUUACAACUUUCAACAACGGAUCUCUUGGUUCUGGCAUCGAUGAAGAACGCAGCGAAAUGCGAUAAGUAGUGUGAAUUGCAGAAUUCAGUGAAUCAUCGAAUCUUUGAACGCACAUUGCGCCCCUUGGUAUUCCAUGGGGCAUGCCUGUUCGAGCGUCAUUUGUACCUUCAAGCUCUGCUUGGUGUUGGGUGUUUGUCUCGCCUCCGCGCGCAGACUCGCCUCAAAACAAUUGGCAGCCGGCGUAUUGAUUUCGGAGCGCAGUACAUCUCGCGCUUUGCACUCACAACGACGACGUCCAAAAGUACAUUUUUUACACUCUUGACCUCGGAUCAGGUAGGGAUACCCGCUGAACUUAAGCAUAUCAUA